GGUCCUGACUAGCUCAAACUGGUAGAGCUUGGCAUUAACAUCGCCAGGGUUAAGAGUUCGAUUUCCACUAGGACCA